rnacentral:rRNA from 1 species
UUACCAGACUCCUACGGGAGGCAGCAGUGGGGAAUAUUGGGCAAUGGAGGAAACUCUUACCCAGCAAUGCCGCGUGAAUGAAGAAGGUCUUCGGAUUGUAAAGUUCUUUAAUUGGGGACGAAAAAAAUGACGGUACCCAAGGAAUAAGCCCCGGCUAACUACGUGCCAGCAGCCGCGGUAAUACGUAGGGGGCAAGCGUUAUCCGGAUUUACUGGGUGUAAAGGGAGCGUAGACGGCAGCGCAAGUCUGAAGUGAAAUGCCGGGGCUUAACCCCGGAACUGCUUUGGAAACUGAGCAGCUAGAGUGCAGGAGAGGUAAGUGGAAUUCCUAGUGUAGCGGUGAGAUGCGUAGAUAUUAGGAGGAACACCAGUGGCGAAGGCGGCUUACUGGACUGUAACUGACGUUGAGGCUCGAAAGCGUGGGGAGCAAACAGGAUUAGAUACCCCCGUACG